rnacentral:rRNA from 1 species
GGUUACUGCUAUCGAGGUUCGACUAAGCCAUGCGAGUCGAAUGUAGCAAUACAUGGCGAACUGCUCAGUAACACGUGGACAACCUGCCCUUAGGUUGGGUAUAAACCCGGGAAACUGGGUAUAAUACCCGAUAGGUCUCGAUUGCUGGAAUGCAUCGAGAUUUAAAGCUCCGGCGCCUAAGGAUGGGUCUGCGGCCUAUCAGGUAGUAGUGGGUGUAGCGUACCUACUAGCCUACGACGGGUACGGGUUGUGAGAGCAAGAGCCCGGAGAUGGAUUCUGAGACACGAAUCCAGGCCCUACGGGGUGCAGCAGGCGCGAAAACUUUACAAUGCUGGCAACAGCGAUAAGGGAACCUCGAGUGCCAGGUUACAAAUCUGGCUGUCGAGAUGCCUAAAAAGCAUUUCAUAGCAAGGGCCGGGCAAGACCGGUGCCAGCCGCCGCGGUAACACCGGCGGCUCGAGUGGUAACCGUUAUUAUUGGGUCUAAAGGGUCUGUAGCCGGCCGGAUAAGUCUCUUGAGAAAUCUGGCAGCUUAACUGUCAAGCUUUCAGGAGAUACUGUCUGGCUCGAGGCCGGGAGAGGUGAGAGGUACUUCAGGGGUAGGGGUGAAAUCUUGUAAUCCUUGAAGGACCACCAGUGGCGAAAGCGUCUCACCAGAACGGACCUGACGGCAAGGGACGAAAGCUAGGGGCACGAACCGGAUUAGAUACCCGGGUAG